rnacentral:rRNA from 1 species
GAUGAACGCUGGCGGCGUGCCUAAUACAUGCAAGUCGAGCGAACAGACGAGGAGCUUGCUCCUCUGACGUUAGCGGCCGACGGGUGAGUAACACGUCUAUAACCUACCUAUAAGACUGUGAUAACUUUGGGAAACCGGACCUAAUACCGGAUAAUAUAUUGAACAACAUGGUUCCAUAGUUAAAGACGGUUUUUCUGUCACUUAUCGCCUGCUCCGCCCCGCAUUAGCUAGUUGGUAAGGUAACUGCUUACCAACGCUACGAUGCUGACCCGACCUGAACGGGUGGUCGGACAGACUGGAACUGAGACACGGUACAGACUCCUAGGGGAGGAAGCAGUAGGGAAUCCUACGCAAUGGGGGAGAGGCUGACGGUAGAAAGCGGCGUGAAUGAUGAAGGUCUUAGGAUGGGUAAGCUCUGUUAGCAGGAGGGAACUAAUGUGUAAGUAACUAUGCACGUAAUGACGGUACCUAAUCAAAAAGCCACGGCUAACUACGUG